GACGAACGCUGGCGGCGUGCCUAAUACAUGCAAGUAGAACGCUGAAGGAGGAGCUUGCUUCUCCGGAUGAGUUGCGAACGGGUGAGUAACGCGUAGGUAACCUGCCUGGUAGCGGGGGAUAACUAUUGGAAACGAUAGCUAAUACCGCAUAAGAGUAGAUGUCGCAUGACAUUUGCUUAAAAGGUGCAACUGCACCACUACCAGAUGGACCUGCGUUGUAUUAGCUAGUUGGUGAGGUAACGGCUCACCAAGGCAACGAUACAUAGCCGACCUGAGAGGGUGAUCGGCCACACUGGGACUGAGACACGGCCCAGACUCCUACGGGAGGCAGCAGUAGGGAAUCUUCGGCAAUGGACGGAAGUCUGACCGAGCAACGCCGCGUGAGUGAAGAAGGUUGUCGGAUCGUAAAGCUCUGUUGUAAGAGAAGAACGAGUGUGAGAGUGGAAAGUUCACACUGUGACGGUAUCUGACCAGAAAGGGACGGCUAACUACGUG
rnacentral:rRNA from 1 species